rnacentral:tRNA from 7 species
GCGCGAUUAGCUCAGCGGGAGAGCACUUCCCUGACACGGAAGAGGUCACUGGUUCAAUCCCAGUAUCGCGCACCA